rnacentral:piRNA from 1 species
UUACUGCUGUUAUGAAUCAUAACGUAAAUA